GAUGAACGCUGGCGGCGUGCUUAACACAUGCAAGUCGAACGGGCUCUUCGGAGCUAGUGGCGGACGGGUGAGUAACGCGUGAGAAUCUGCCUACAGGACGGGGACAACAGUUGGAAACGACUGCUAAUACCCGAUGUGCCGAGAGGUGAAACAUUUAUGGACGGUAGAUGAGCUCGCGUCUGAUUAGCUAGUUGGUGGGGUAAGAGCCUACCAAGGCGACGAUCAGUAGCUGGUCUGAGAGGAUGAUCGGCCACACUGGGACUGAGACACGGCCCAGACUCCUACGGGAGGCAGCAGUGGGGAAUUUUCCGCAAUGGGCGCAAGCCUGACGGAGCAACGCCGCGUGGGGGAGGAAGGUUUUUGGACUGUAAACCCCUUUUCUCAGGGAAGAAGAAAGUGACGGUACCUGAGGAAUAAGCCUCGGCCAAUUCCGUGCCAGCAGCCGCGGUAACAC
rnacentral:rRNA from 1 species